UAACUCUAUUGUUUAAGCUAUUUUCUCUGCUUGGGAAGACUUGUCACUGUCAUCUGUCAGGCAAAGUCCACUCAUCCUUUAUGACCUAAUACAAAUGAUGCUUCUUCUGUGAAGCCUUCCCUGCCCUCCCCAGGGAGAUAAUCACUCUCCUCUCUGCUUUCACAUAUAUUAUGGCAUGUCUCUUUAUAUGUUGGUCUCUCCCAAAUGUCUUAGAAGAUUCAUGGGGCAAUCUGAUUGAGGAAGAGGUAUCCUAGAAACAUCUACUGAUGAACAAAAAUAUCAGAAGUACGGAAUUUGGACUGUCUGAACCAUAAACAAACAAACAAACAAAAAGGCAGAAAUCUACUCUUAGAACACAUGAUACUAAGCACCUUACUGCAAGAGUGUAAAGAAAUAAAAGAGGACAAGAAAAGAUGUUUUCCCAUCCCUGACAUUUUCUGGUCCAGCAAGGACAAGCUGAAAAGCUGAUUAACAAGCUUCCCAGGAGAACUGGAAAUCCCUGGGAACUGGGAUUCCCAACUGGCAUCUAGGGAUGAGAGGGCUUAUCUUCUGAUUUUUGGUUAAGGUGAUUAAACUCAGACUACUAAUUGAAUAAAUGCAAAACUUAUUCUAGAUUACUAUUUUAAGCAUCCUUCAUUCUUUCAUCCAUUCUUCCAUUUAUUCUUCCAAGAUUCUAUUUUUCCACCUAUCCAUUUUUCUACCCAUCCAUUAUUUAUUUAGAAGUAUUUAGAUACUUCUUUUAGAUACUUCUAUGCACCAUACUCUGUGCUGAGUGUGGAAAACACAAUGAUGAACAAGGAAGCAGA